CCUACGGGAGGCUGCAGUGGGGAAUAUUGCACAAUGGGCGCAAGCCUGAUGCAGCCAUGCCGCGUGUGUGAAGAAGGCCUUCGGGUUGUAAAGCACUUUCAGCGGGGAGGAAGGCGGUGAGGUUAAUAACCUCAUCGAUUGACGUUACCCGCAGAAGAAGCACCGGCUAACUCCGUGCCAGCAGCCGCGGUAAUACGGAGGGUGCAAGCGUUAAUCGGAAUUACUGGGCGUAAAGCGCACGCAGGCGGUCUGUCAAGUCGGAUGUGAAAUCCCCGGGCUCAACCUGGGAACUGCAUUCGAAACUGGCAGGCUAGAGUCUUGUAGAGGGGGGUAGAAUUCCAGGUGUAGCGGUGAAAUGCGUAGAGAUCUGGAGGAAUACCGGUGGCGAAGGCGGCCCCCUGGACAAAGACUGACGCUCAGGUGCGAAAGCGUGGGGAGCAAACAGGAGUAGAUACCCGGGUAGUC
rnacentral:rRNA from 1 species